rnacentral:rRNA from 1 species
AGAGUUUGAUCAUGGCUCAGGAUGAACGCUAGCGGCAGGCAUAAUACAUGCAAGUUGAACGGGAUCCAUCAGCAAUGGUGGUGAGAGUGGCGCACGGGUGCGUAACACGUAUGCAACCUGCCUCAAACCGGGGAAUAGCCCGUGGAAACAUGGAUUAAUAUCCCAUAAGAUAGUGGAAAGGCAUCUUUCAGCUAUUAAAACUCCGGUGGUUUGAGAUGGGCAUGCGCGACAUUAGCUAGAUGGCGGGGUAACGGCCCACCAUGGCUACGAUGUCUAGGGGGUCUGAGAGGAUGUCCCCCCACACUGGUACUGAGACACGGACCAGACUCCUACGGGAGGCAGCAGUAGGGAAUAUUGGUCAAUGGGCGCAAGCCUGAACCAGCCAUGCCGCGUGCAGGAAGACGGCCCUAUGGGUUGUAAACUGCUUUUAUCAGGGAAGAAACCCCCGAACGUGUUCGGGGCUGACGGUACUUGAAGAAUAAGGAUCGGCUAACUCCGUGCCAGCAGCCGCGGUAAUACGGAGGAUCCAAGCGUUGUCCGGAUUUAUUGGGUUUAAAGGGUGCGUAGGCGGAAUAAUAAGUCAGAGGUGAAAGCCGGUAGCUCAACUAUCGAAUUGCCUUUGAAACUGUUAUUCUUGAGUUUUGUUGAGGUAGGCGGAAUGUAUCAUGUAGCGGUGAAAUGCUUAGAUAUGAUACAGAACACCGAUUGCGAAGGCAGCUUACUAAGCAAAAACUGACGCUGAGGCACGAAAGCGUGGGGAUCAAACAGGAUUAGAUACCCUAGUAGUCC